rnacentral:tRNA from 1 species
GCCCCGAUGACGAAACCGGUAGACGUAGCGGACUUAAAAUCCGCGGCCGCGAGGCGUGGCGGUUCGAGUCCGCCUCGGGGCACCA